UAUGCUUUAAUAUAUGAUGUAUAUAGAUUUUUGGUAUCUGAGGAAGUAGUUUAACUCUACUAGGCAUAA
rnacentral:tRNA from 1 species